rnacentral:lncRNA from 1 species
AGCUGCAGUGGCGGGGAGUGGGGUGCGGAUCUUGUGUUUGCGCACGCAGUCGCCGGCCACCUCAGGCCGGAGCUAGAGAUACGGCUCGGGAUAGGAGGGCCCGGCGGCUCUGAGGCAGGUUCGCCUCGAGCCGCACGGCCCGGAGCAGCGGCUCCGCGGUGGUCCCCGGGGCUUGAGAGGGGUGCGGGCCUGGGAGCCCCUGAGGGCCUGAUUUACGGAACUCCCCCUCCUUCCUCCUUUCUGCCGUUCCCUGCUCUGUGGCGGAUGCGCAGGGAUCAGUAGGGACGGCAGCAGUAGGGCCACUCGGGCCUGCCCCGCUUCCCGCAUUGCCCGGUUUGGCGCGCCGCCUCCGGGCCUUGGCAAAGCCCCAGCGCCCGAUUGUCACUGACCAGUGCUUGGAAGUCCUUUACCGACUGCCCGUCAGCGUCCCGCGGAGAGGAUUUUGCGUCUCCAAAGACGCCCCUCUUCCGAAAACAGGCUCCUCUGUGUUCUCAGUCGGGUAUAUUUUUCUGUCUCCAAACUAGAUUGGCAGCCGUUUUUUGAGAGCAGGGUCUUGCUCUGUUGCCCAGACUGGAGUGCAGUGGCGCCAUCUCAGCUGACUGCAGAUUCAACCUUCUGAGCUCACGAAAUCCUCCCAUCUCAACCUCCUGAGUAGCUGGGACCACAGGCUGAGCACAGGGUUGCUCCAGGUGGGCCCAAAUGCUGAAGAGCCUCAUGUUAGAGUUUUUCACCUCUGCGAUGGAACUGUGGUGGACUCCAGUAUCAUCAUUCCAGGGAGGCAUAGCCGCACCAACUGUGUUCCCAGGUUUCACAUGGAGAAGGGUUUUAGAAAGUGCAGAUAGCCUUGAAACCAUUGGUUUCCUACCACUGUUUAUUUCAGCAUAACUUUUUUUGUGUGGAAUGCUAGCUCUGGAAGAGCAGAAAUAAAUACAGCUUAAGCUUUGAACCAUA